UACGAAGGGGGCUAGCGUUGCUCGGAAUCACUGGGCGUAAAGCGCACGUAGGCGGAUCUUUAAGUCAGGGGUGAAAUCCCGGAGCUCAACUCCGGAACUGCCUUUGAUACUGGGGAUCUUGAGGCUGGAAGAGGUUGGUAGAAUUCCCAGUGUAGAGGUGAAAUUCGUAGAUAUUGGGAAGAAUACCAGUGGCGAAGGCGGCCAACUGGUCCAGAUCUGACGCUGAGGUGCGAAAGCGUGGGGAGCAAACAGG
rnacentral:rRNA from 1 species